rnacentral:lncRNA from 13 species
CCUGGUUAUCCGUACAUUUUCAAAACAAGAAAAUGGUGCCAUCUGCUUUGCGUAAUAUAAGGAAUUUGAAAUGAUUUAUACUUCUACUUUGACUUUUGAUACUUAUAUUUUAGCAAUUACAUGUACUUUUGAUACUUAAGUAUAUUUAAAACUAAAUACUUUCAGACUUUUACUCAAAUAGUAUUUUACUGGGUGACUUUCACUUUUACUUGAGUAACUUUCUAUUAAGGUAUCUGUUAUGGUGAGUGAAUGAGGACCCAAAAGCGAACUAACUUAAACAGAGCUUCUUUAAUAACCAAACAUAGGUAGGCUCAGAUAGACCGGCAGAUUCCGACAGGACAGGACAAGGUUACAGCAAACAUGACGAUAGUCUGGCUCAGGCAUGAAACACAACAAACAAGAAUCCGACAAGGACAGGAACAGAAACAGAGAGAGAUAUAGGGACCUAAUCAGAGGGAAAAAGGGAACAGGUGGGAAACGGGGUGAAUGGGUAGUUAGAGGAGACAAGGAACAGCAGGUGGGAAACGGGGUGAAUGGGUAGUUAGAGGAGACAAGGAACAGCUGGGGGAAAGCGGGGGAGAAAAGGUAACCUAACAACGACCAGCAGAGGGAGACAGGGUGAAGGGAAAGGACAGAGACAAGACACAACAUGACAGUAUCUAUACUUUUACUCAAGUAUGACAACUGGGUCUUUUUUCCACAACUGAAUAUUUUAGUAAUUUGAAGAAGUAAAGGUUUCAAUUCAAGGUCACAUGACGAACAGAGGGACUGAGCCUUGGGACUGAUAUCAUAUUAGAGGUUGCCAUCUGUCACACCCUGAUCUGUUUCACCUGUCUUUGUGCUUGUCUCCACCCCCCUCCAGGUGUCACCCAUCUUCCCCAUUAUCCCCUGUGUAUUUAUACCUGUGCUCUCUGUUUGUCUCCAGUUAAUUUUGUUUUGUGAAACUUAACAGUGUUUGUUCCCCUGCUCCUGUCUGUAUCUUGCUCCUGUUUUCUAGUCCUUCCCGGUUUUGCCCGUUCAGUCUUCCCUGACCCUGAGCCUUCCUGCCGUUAUGUACCCUGCCCCACCUCACUGCAUUGUUGACCACUGCUUACCCAGACCCUGAGACUGCCUGCCGUUCUGGACCUUUUGCACCCUCUCUGGAUUACUGACCUCUGCCUGCCUUUGACCUAUCGUUUGCCUGCCCCUGUCCUAGAAAUACAGUUUUGUUUCUUCGACACAGUCUGCAUCUGGGUCAUACCUGAAACCUGAUACCAGCUGUUGUUUGGGUUAAAGAUAAGUUUUCGGUGGACAAAAGAGAUACGUCACGAGUGAAAAUUUGUGGUUCUCACUGAAAUCAAACAGGGGAC